CUACGGGUCGCUCCAGUGGGGAAUAUUGGACAAUGGGGGAAACCCUGAUCCAGCAAUGCCGCGUGUGUGAAGAAGGCCUGCGGGUUGUAAGGCACUUUCGGUUGGGAGGACUGCUUCUAGCACUAAUAUUGUUGGAAGUUGACGUUACCUUCAGAAGAAGCACCGGCUAACUCCGUGCCAGUAGCCGCGGUAAUACGGAGGGCGCAAGCGUUAAUCGGAAUUACUGGGCGUAAAGCGCGCGUAGGCGGCUAGAUCAGUCGGGUGUGAAAGCCCCGGGCUUAACCUGGGAACUGCAUCCGAUACUGUCUAGCUUGAGUACAGGAGAGGAGAGUGGAAUUCCACAUGUAGCGGUGAAAUGCGUAGAUAUGUGGAGGAACACCAAUGGCGAAGGCAGCUCUCUGGCCUGAUACUGACGCUGAGGUGCGAAAGCGUGGGGAGCAAACAGGAUUAGAUACCCUCGUAGUC
rnacentral:rRNA from 1 species